rnacentral:rRNA from 1 species
AUUGAACGCUGGCGGCAGGCCUAACACAUGCAAGUCGAACGAGUGGCGGACGGGUGCGUCAUGUCUGGGAAACUGCCUGAUGGAGGGGGAUAACUCCUGGAAAAGGUAGCUAAUCCCGCAUACCAUCCGUUGUGCCCAGAUGGGAUUAGCUAGUUGGGGGGGUAACGGCUCACCACGGCGACGCUCCCUAGCUGGUCUGAGAGGAUGACCAGACACACUUGAACUGAGACACGGUCCGGAAUCCUACGGGAGGCAGCAGUGGGGAAUAUUGCACAAUGGGCGCAAGCCUGAUGCAGCCAUGCCGGUUGUAUGAAGAAGGCCUUCGGGUUGUAAAGUACUUUCAGCGGGGAGGCGUUACCCGCAGAAGAAGCACCGGCUAACUCCGUGCCAGCAGCCGCGGUAAUUC